GAGGCUGGUGCAAGAUGAUCACAAGUUUGAGGUCAGUCUCAGUAUCUUAGCUAAACCCUAUCUAAAAGUUAAAAAAUGAAAAGGGCUAGGGACGUAGCUGAGUAGUAAAGUAUCCCUGGAUUCAAUCCCCAGUACCAUUUUUAGAAAUACAAAAAGAACUCUACUCUCUUUAUAGAACUCUAAGUCAUAAGAAAUUUUUCCUUAUGUUAUCUUCUGAAAGUUUAAUAAAUGUAUGCUUUACUUUAGGCCUAUGAUCCAUUUUGAAAUGAUUUUAAUAUAUUGUAACAAGUUUAGGUCAAAGUUCUUUUGUCUUUUGCCUAUAAAAUGUCCAAAUAUGCCAACAUAAUUUAUUGGAAAUGUCAUUGAAUUACCUUUUACAAAAAUUAGGCAGUUGUAUUUUGCUUAGCUUUAUAACAGAUUUUCCUGUGUUGCCCAGGCCAACCUCAAACUUGUGAUCCUCCUGCCUCAGUCUAAUGAGUAGCUGGGAACAGAGCCAUAAGCCGCUGUGCCCAAGUAGGCAGCUGUAGGUCUAUUUCUAGAAUCUCUGGUU
rnacentral:lncRNA from 1 species